ACGGGUGAGUAAUAUAUCGGAACGUACCCAAGAGUGGGGGAUAACGUAGCGAAAGUUACGCUAAUACCGCAUACGAUCUAAGGAUGAAAGCAGGGGAUCGCAAGACCUUGUGCUCCUGGAGCGGCCGAUAUCUGAUUAGCUAGUUGGUGGGGUAAAGGCCCACCAAGGCAACGAUCAGUAGCUGGUCUGAGAGGACGACCAGCCACACUGGAACUGAGACACGGUCCAGACUCCUACGGGAGGCAGCAGUGGGGAAUUUUGGACAAUGGGGGCAACCCUGAUCCAGCAAUGCCGCGUGAGUGAAGAAGGCCUUCGGGUUGUAAAGCUCUUUUGUCAGGGAAGAAAAGGCUGUGGCUAAUAUCCACAGCUGCUGACGGUACCUGAAGAAUAAGCACCGGCUAACUACGUGCCAGCAGCCGCGGUAAUACGUAGGGUGCAAGCGUUAAUCGGAAUUACUGGGCGUAAAGCGUGCGCAGGCGGUUUCGUAAGUCUGUCGUGAAAUCCCCGGGCUUAACCUGGGAAUGGCGAUGGAGACUGCGAGGCUAGAGUUUGGCAGAGGGGGGUAGAAUUCCACGUGUAGCAGU
rnacentral:rRNA from 3 species